UAGGGAAUCUUCCGCAAUGGACGCAAGUCUGACGGAGCAACGCCGCGUGAGUGAAGAAGGAUUUCGGUUCGUAAAACUCUGUUGUUAGAGAAGAACAGCGCAUAGAGUAACUGUUAUGCGUGUGACGGUAUCUAACCAGAAAGCCACGGCUAACUACGUGCCAGCAGCCGCGGUAAUACGUAGGUGGCAAGCGUUGUCCGGAUUUAUUGGGCGUAAAGCGAGCGCAGGCGGUCAAUUAAGUCUGAUGUGAAAGCCCCCGGCUCAACCGGGGAGGGUCAUUGGAAACUGGUUGACUUGAGUGCAGAAGAGGAGAGUGGAAUUCCAUGUGUAGCGGGGAAAUGCGUAGAUAUAUGGAGGAACACCAGUGGCGAAGGCGACUCUCUGGUCUGUAACUGACGCUGAGGCUCGAAAGCGUGGGUAGCAAACAGG
rnacentral:rRNA from 1 species